rnacentral:snRNA from 1 species
GUGCUUGCUUCAGCAGCACUUACAAUAAAAUUGGGAUAUUAGCAUGACCCCGUGCAAGGGUGAUAUGCAAAUUCAUGAGGUAUUUGCAUUAAAA